rnacentral:rRNA from 1 species
CGGGGGGAGCAAGCGUUGUUCGGAUUUACUGGGCGUAAAGGGCGCGUAGGCGGCGCGACAAGUCACUUGUGAAAUCUCCGGGCUUAACCCGGAGCGGCCAAGUGAUACUGUAGUGCUAGAGUGCGGAAGGGGCUACUGGAAUUCUCGGUGUAGCGGUGAAAUAGCGUAGAUAUCGAGAGGAACACCUGCGGCGAAGGCGGGUAGCUGGGCCGACACUGACGCUGAGGCGCGAAAGCCAGGGGAGCGAACGGGAUUAGAUACCCCGGUAGUCCUGGCCUUAAACGAUGGAUACUUGGUGUCCGGGGUUACAUAGUCCCGGGUGCCGGCGCUAACGCAUUAAGUAUCCCGCCUGGGGAGUACGGUCGCAAGACUG